rnacentral:rRNA from 1 species
AACGUAGGACGCAAGCGUUAUCCGGAGUUACUGGGCGUAAAGCGCGGGCAGGCGGCUUGUCAAGUGGGGUGUGAAAGCUCCCAGCUUAACUGGGAGAGGCCAUUCCAAACUGAUAGGCUGGAGGGCAGCAGAGGUGCGUGGAAUUCCGGGUGGAGUGGUGAAAUGCGUAGAGAUCCGGAGGAACACCAGAGGCGAAGGCGGCGCACUGGGCUGUACCUGACGCUGAUCCGCGACAGCCAGGGGAGCGAAC